AUUGAACGCUGGCGGCAGGCUUAACACAUGCAAGUCGAGCGAGCGGCGGACGGGUGAGUAAUGUCUGGGAAACUGCCUGAUGGAGGGGGAUAACUACUGGAAACGGUAGCUAAUACCGCAUACCAUCAGAUGUGCCCAGAUGGGAUUAGCUAGUAGGUGGGGUAAUGGCACACCUAGGCGACGAUCCCUAGCUGGUCUGAGAGGAUGACCAGCCACACUGUAACUGAGACACGGUCCAGACCCCUACGGGAGGCAGCAGUGGGGAAUAUUGCACAAGGGGGGCAAGCCUGAUGCAGCCAUGCCGGGUGAGUGAAGAAGGCCUUCGGGUUGUAAAGCACUUUCAGCGGGGAGGCGUUACUGGCAGAAGAAGCACCGGCUAACUCCGUGCCAGCAGAAGCGGUAAUAC
rnacentral:rRNA from 1 species